rnacentral:rRNA from 1 species
UACGUAGGGUGCGAGCGUUAAUCGGAAUUAUUGGGCGUAAAGAGCUCGUAGGCGGUUUGUCGCGUCUGCUGUGAAAACUCGGGGCUUAACCCCGGGCCUGCAGUGGGUACGGGCAGACUAGAGUGCGGUAGGGGAGACUGGAAUUCCUGGUGUAGCUGUGAAAUGCGCAGAUAUCAGGAGGAACACCGGUGGCGAAGGCGGGUCUCUGGGCCGUAACUGACGCUGAGGAGCGAAAGCGUGGGGAGCGAACAGG